GACGAACGCUGGCGGCGUGCUUAACACAUGCAAGUCGAGCGGUAAGGCCCUUUCGGGGGUACACGAGCGGCGAACGGGUGAGUAACACGUGGGUGACCUGCCCUCAGCUCUGGGAUAAGCCUGGGAAACUGGGUCUAAUACUGGAUAUGACUCCACGGUGCAUGUCGUGGGGUGGAAAGCCUUGUGCGGCUGAGGAUGGGCCCGCGGCCUAUCAGCUUGUUGGUGGGGGNGAUGGCCUACC
rnacentral:rRNA from 1 species